rnacentral:sRNA from 1 species
UGCAUUUGUAGCUCAUGAGGAUGAGAACCUCCGGGGGCGGGGAGGUUCGACUCGAGCGAAGCGAGAGAACGUUGCGCCAGCAACGGCCCGCAGGGCGAGCCACGAAGUGGCGAGUAAUCCUCUAUCAC